rnacentral:rRNA from 1 species
AGUUUCCUACGGGGCGCAGCAGUAGGGAAUCUUCCACAAUGGGCGAAAGCCUGAUGGAGCAACGCCGCGUGGGUGAAGAAGGUCUUCGGAUCGUAAAACCCUGUUGUUAGAGAAGAAAGUGCGUGAGAGUAACUGUUCACGUUUCGACGGUAUCUAACCAGAAAGCCACGGCUAACUACGUGCCAGCAGCCGCGGCAAUACGUAGGUGGCAAGCGUUAUCCGGAUUUAUUGGGCGUAAAGGGAACGCAGGCGGUCUUUUAAGUCUGAUGUGAAAGCCUUGGGCUUAACCGGAGGAGUGAAUUGGA